ACCUGCUGUUGCUGGACCAACUCCAGUCUCCUGGCCUCUUGCAUGUUGCCACAGAUGAGGGGCUGAGACUGACGGGACAAGGGCCUCCUUGGCCAGCGUGCAUCGUAACCCAUCAUAUUGGGCCUGCUGUCACGUGUGUGAUGCAAGUUAGAAAAGGGGAGGGGGUUUCAAUCACACAGUCCCAGCCACUCUCUCGACCAUGAUUUCACAAGACUCGUUUUGCAAAGGAUCCGAGCAGAAGGAUCUAGGAAGCCUCCACCCUCAUCAUCAUUUGGUUGUUGUGUCACAUCAGCCUUGUGCAAAUGGGGAAAGAGCUGAGAGUGACACUGAGCAGAAGAGUUUCCUGUUAUUGUGCUCAUCCAGGUAACCACAAUCAUCCAGUUUUUACACAACACAGAGUGGCCAUUGGACAAUCAGUCCCCCAGUGAAGUUGGAGACACAAUCGGAGGACUCUGAGGAUAAUGAGAACGGCUCCCUUGUGAACUGGAGGACGACGCAGGCCUUUUCACACAGCUCCUUGGUCUUAAAGCUGUUGGGAUUGUCCCCACAGCUCCGAAACGAGACACACUUCUUCUUGUCUGGAUCAUAGGAGUAGCGCAGCAAUUCCUGUUUGCAGCUGCCCUGUUGUGGAGCCCCUCCCUUCUGGGAAUUCAGACUACAUUCCAGCACACACAGGCUGGGGGAGCAGUUCCUCAAUGCCCAGGUUCGGAUGGCAAAGACAUCUCUCUGGCAGUGGAACAGCAGCGCUCUUGGCCCGGGCAGCUGGCAUCGCUGGAGCAGAAUUUGCCACAAGGAGCAUCCUCAUCAGCAGGUGGGGUGGGACACGUGCCAGGCUUGAUGGUAUCUGCAAGGAUUUG